rnacentral:rRNA from 1 species
CCAGGAAAAGCCUCUAAGCAUCAGGUGACAUUCAAUCGUACCCCAAACCGACACAGGUGGUCAGGUAGAGAAUACUCAGGCGCUUGAGAGAACUCGGGUGAAGGAACUAGGCAAAAUGGUGCCGUAACUUCGGGAGAAGGCACGCUCCUGUGGGUGAAGUCCCUUGCGGAUGGAGCUGACGGGAGUCGCAGAUACCAGCUGGCUGCAACUGUUUAAUAAAAACACAGCACUGUGCAAACACGAAAGUGGACGUAUACGGUGUGACGCCUGCCCGGUGCCGGAAGGU